UUCCCGCGAGUGACGGCAGGAGCUCAAUUUGAAAUCUGGGGCCCCCGGCCUCCGAGUUGUAAUUUGGAGAGGCUCCUUCGGGGGGGAGCGCUGGCCCAUGUUCCUUGGAACAGGACGUCGCAGAGGGUGAGAAUCCCGUGCCAGGCCGGCUGCCUCCUCCCGCGUGAAGGGCCUUCGACGAGUCGAGUUGUUUGGGAAUGCAGCUCCAAGUGGGUGGUAAAUUUCAUCUAAAGCUAAAUACCGGCGGGAGACCGAUAGCGCACAAGUAGAGUGAUCGAAAGAUGAAAAGCACUUUGAAAAUAGAGUCAAAAAGUACGUGAAAUUGUUGAAAGGGAAGCGCUUGAGACCAGACUCAGACCCAGGCAAACACCGCGCCCCCAGGGGCCGUGCAAUUGCCCGGUGCUGGGCCAGCAUCAGUUGGCGUGGCGGGACAAGGGCGCGGGAAAUGUGGCUCCCCUCGGGGAGUGUUAUCAGGCCCGCGCCGGAUGCCGCCGACGCCGACUGAGGACCGCGCCUCGGCUAGGAUGCUGGCUUAAUGGCCUUCAGCGACCCGUCUUGAAACACGGACCAAGGAGUCUAACAUCUAUGCGAGUGUUUGGGCGCCAAACCCUUGCGCGGAAUGAAAGUGAGCGGAGGUGGGAACCCCUCACCGGGCGCACCAUCGACCGAUCCUGAUGUCUUCGGAUGGAUUUGAGUAGGAGCAUAGCUGUUGGGACCCGAAAGAUGGUGAACUAUGCCUGAAUAGGGUGAAGCCAGAGGAAACUCUGGUGGAGGCUCGCAGCGGUUCUGACGUGCAAAUCGAUCGUCAAAUUUGGGUAUAGGGGCGAAAGACUAAUCGAACCAUCUAGUAGCUGGUUCCCUGCCGAA
rnacentral:rRNA from 1 species